AUGCAGUCGAGCGGACAGAUGGGAGCUUGCUCCCUGAUGUUAGCGGCGGACGGGUGAGUAACACGUGGGUAACCUGCCUGUAAGACUGGGAUAACUCCGGGAAACCGGGGCUAAUACCGGAUGGUUGUUUGAACCGCAUGGUUCAAACAUAAAAGGUGGCUUCGGCUACCACUUACAGAUGGACCCGCGGCGCAUUAGCUAGUUGGUGAGGUAACGGCUCACCAAGGCAACGAUGCGUACCCGACCUGAGAGGGUGAUCGGCCACACUGGGACUGAGACACGGCCCAGACUCCUACGGGAGGCAGCAGUAGGGAAUCUUCCGCAAUGGACGAAAGUCUGACGGAGCAACGCCGCGUGAGUGAUGAAGGUUUUCGGAUCGUAAAGCUCUGUUGUUAGGGAAGAACAAGUACCGUUCGAAUAGGGCGGUACCUUGACGGUACCUAACCAGAAAGCCACGGCUAACUACGUGCCAGCAGCCGCGGUAAUACGUAGGUGGCAAGCGUUGUCCGGAAUUAUUGGGCGUAAAGGGCUCGCAGGCGGUUUCUUAAGUCUGAUGUGAAACCCCCCGGCUCAACCGGGGAGGGUCAUUGGAAACUGGGGGAACUUGAGUGCAGAAGAGGAGAGUGCAAUUCCACGUGUAGCGGUGAAAUGCGUAGAGAUGUGGAGGACACCAGUGGCGAAGGCGACUCUCUGGUCUGUAACUGACGCUGAGGAGCGAAG
rnacentral:rRNA from 2 species